GACGAACGCUGGCGGCGUGCCUAAUACAUGCAAGUCGAACGCAGUGGGGACGGGUGAGUAACACGUGGGUAACCUCCCAUCAGAGGGGAUAACACUUGGAAACAGGUGCUAAACCGAUACUGAUGGAUGGACCCGCGGUGCAUUAGCUGGUUGGUGGGGUAACGGCUCACCAAGGCCACGAUGCAUAGCCGACCUGGGAGGGGAAACGGCCACACUGGGAAGAGGCAACGGCCCAGAAUCCGACGGGGGGCAGCAGUGGGGAAUUUUCGGCAAUGGAGAAAAGUCAGACCGAGCAACGCGGGGUGGGUGAAGAAGGUUUUGGGAUCGUAAAACUCUGUUGUUAGAGAAGCGGUAUCUAACCAGAAAGCCACGGCUAACUACGUGCCAGCAGCCGCGGUAAUAC
rnacentral:rRNA from 1 species